rnacentral:rRNA from 1 species
UGACUCUGUUCAACGGCCGCGGUAUCCUAACCGUGCAAAGGUAGCGCAAUCAUUUGUCCUUUAAAUAAGGACUAGUAUGAACGGCACCACGAAAGCUAUACUGUCUCCUUCCCCUAAUCAGUGAAACUAAUCUUCCCGUGAAGAAGCGGGGAUAAUUUUGUAAGACGAGAAGACCCUAUGGAGCUUUAAACACACAACAAUUGUAACGGACCUACCCUCUUCCCUGGAAGAAACCACCCACUCGAACAUUUUGAUUGUAAGUUUUAGGUUGGGGUGACCACGGAGCAGAAAAUAACCUCCAUGAUGAACGGGAUUUUCCCCUUAAACCCAGGGCCACAACCCUAAGGAUCAAUAAAUUGACACCCAUUGACCCAAUACUUUGACCAACGAACCAAGUUACCCUAGGGAUAACAGCGCAAUCCACUUCAAGAGCUCCUAUCGACAAGUGGGUUUACGACCU